rnacentral:rRNA from 1 species
AUUGAACGCUGGCGGCAUGCUUUACACAUGCAAGUCGAACGGUAACAGGCCGCAAGGUGCUGACGAGUGGCGAACGGGUGAGUAAUGCAUCGGAACGUGCCCAGUCGUGGGGGAUAACGCAGCGAAAGCUGUGCUAAUACCGCAUACGAUCUAUGGAUGAAAGCGGGGGACCGAAAGGCCUCGCGCGAUUGGAGCGGCCGAUGUCAGAUUAGGUAGUUGGUGGGGUAAAGGCCUACCAAGCCAACGAUCUGUAGCUGGUCUGAGAGGACGACCAGCCACACGGGAACUGAGACCGGGCCCAACUCCUAAGGGGGGGCAGGGGUGGGAAUUUUUGGAAAUGGGGCGCAGGCCUAUCCAAGAAAUGCCGCGGGAAGGAAAAGGCCCUUCGGUUUGUAAACUGUUUUUGUAGGGAAGAAAAGGGUCUGGUUUAAACCCCUGGACAAAGACCGUACCCGAAAAAAAAGCCCCGGCUAAACUCGUG